rnacentral:piRNA from 1 species
UGACAUGCUCUCUUGAAUGUUCUGUCCUGC